AGAGGCCAGGGGUUUGGUUAAAAAAAAGCAGGCUGUAGGAGAGACAAGAAGCUAAAUAACUUGGAUUAACAUUGCACAAACUGGGAUUAGAUGAAAUUCCAUAUCCUAUAAUUGAACUGAACAAGAAACAGACCUACUGCAAGCAUCACUCAAAGAACACAAGUAAAGUUAAUUAUUCUACAGGGGAUAAGAACAUAUGGCGAACACAGGAUUGGAAUUAAAGGCUUGUAAAGACAGAAGGAUGAAAAGAGCGCUGAGACUACAGCUGUCUGCCA